CCAUUUUGGAAAAGAUAAUGGACUUUUAACAAAGGUCUUACCAGGUGCAAGAAGGAAAAUAACAGGUAGAUCACUAAGAGCCCAGUUGACAUUCAUGGUUUCCAGCUGAUCCAUCUUUAGGGUUGCAAAGGUUUUUUGUUUGGGGGAGGGGGGGGAGGUGCUUAUUCUUUAAGGUAUUGACUGAAAAUUCAAGAAUAUAAAUGUGCACCCCCAGAGUCAGAUUACAGGAAAAAAUACCUGUGAAAAGUUUUCUACUAAAAUAAACUUUUCUUUGCCAACAGAUGACAAGGGCAGAGGACACAGACUAUUUGAGAAAUAUGACGCUACGCCAGAAUUACAGCAGAUCAGAACCGCUGCAGUUAUCACACCGCUAUAAAAAUGUUAUGAAGAAUUGUAAUAAUUAUGAAUUGAACUAUAUACAGCAAAACAAAUCAGCCUUUGCCUUCCAAAAUUGUCAAUGGACUAUGGGUCUUUUUAAGAAGCACUUUAACCGUAAGUAAGCACGGCUGGACUGGCCUUACUCAUCACCACUGUUUCAGACAUACGCUUACUUUUGAAAAUAUAUAGAUAGCUAGAUAGAUUUGAUAGGCAGAUUAGAUAAGUCAUAGAUACAAACGUAUAUAUGUAUAUGGGUGAUCUCUCGAUAGAUUACACAGACAUGCAUCCUGCCACAAUGUUCAUUUUUAUGUAAGGUAAUAAAAAACUAAGGGACAUAAAACUCAUUAGGUUACCUUAUGUUUAUAUAUGGAGGGCAGGGAUGAUUAAAUCCAGCUUCUCAGUCUUUGAAAUACAAGAUUGAGAUGUCAUGGCCACUAACUGAACUGAUCAGUAAUAUUUGAUUUGCAUGCCGAAAAUCCAGGACACACACAUUUAAACUCGCAGUUAAACAACCAUCUGAGCUAGAGAUAAAGAAAGGAGGGUCUCCCCAGAUGGAAGCUGACACUAUAAGGAAUCUAUACUGCAAUAGAAAAAUAAUUUAACAAUUAAAAAAGGGAUCUGCGUGAGUUAUAAAUACCAACAAACAAGAUUUCAUUUGCUUACGUCUCCUCUUUGUAGAAGGAGGCUGUUACAAAACAAGAGAAAGGAGUCAGUGGUUCAAAAACUGUAAAUUGUGUUCUUCUUUCAAAACAAUAAAAUUUAAUGCUAAAGCAGUUAUAAUCAAAAGCUGUACAGCAUUUGUUAGAAAACAUUUUUCCAUAAAUAUUGUUCAGUUCCCGGCACUUGUAGCAAUAAUUAAAUUACAAACGAUAAAUAUGGCAUCAGUGGAUAUGUAUUUACAAAAAAAAAAAAGUUAUUACAAAAGGCAACUGCAUACUAAAC